UACGUAGGGGGCUAGCGUUGUCCGGAAUCAUUGGGCGUAAAGCGCGUGUAGGCGGUUCGGUAAGUCCGCUGUGAAAGUCGGGGGGCUCAACCCUCGGAUGCCGGUGGAUACUAUCGGGCUUGAGUACGGAAGAGGCGAGUGGAAUUCCUGGUGUAGCGGUGAAAUGCGCAGAUAUCAGGAGGAACACCAAUUGCGAAGGCAGCUCGCUGGGACGUUACUGACGCUGAGACGCGAAAGCGUGGGGAGCAAACAGG
rnacentral:rRNA from 1 species